rnacentral:piRNA from 1 species
GCGUGUGUCAGGAUGGCCGAGUGGUCUAAG